rnacentral:rRNA from 1 species
CAACCUGCCCUUCAGAGGGGGACAACAGUUGGAAACGACUGCUAAUACCGCAUACGAUCCAAUCUCGGCAUCGAGACUGGAUGAAAGGGGGCCUCUAUUUAUAAGCUAUCACUGAAGGAGGGGAUUGCGUCUGAUUAGCUAGUUGGAGGGGUAACGGCCCACCAAGGCGAUGAUCAGUAGCCGGUCUGAGAGGAUGAACGGCCACAUUGGAACUGAGACACGGUCCAG